rnacentral:rRNA from 1 species
CCUACGGGUGGCAGCAGUAGGGAAUAUUGCUCAAUGGGGGAAACCCUGAAGCAGCAACGCCGCGUGGAGGAUGACUGUUUUCGGAUUGUAAACUCCUUUUGUUAGAGAAGAUAAUUACGGUAUCUAACGCAUAAGCACCGGCUAACUCCGUGCCAGCAGCCGCGGUAAUACGGAGGGUGCAAGCGUUACUCGGAAUCACUGAGCGUAAAGAGCGCGUAGGCGGGUUAGCAAGUCAGAUGUGAAAUCUUACGGCUUAACCAUAGAACUGCAUUUGAAACUGUCAUUCUAGAGUAUAGGUGAGGUAGGUGGAAUUCGUGGUGUAGGGGUAAAAUCCGUAGAGAUCAAGAGGAAUACUGAUUGCGAAGGCGACCUGCUAGAA